rnacentral:rRNA from 1 species
AGUGAACGCUGGCGGUAGGCCUAACACAUGCAAGUCGAACGGCAGCACAGUAAGAGCUUGCUCUUACAGGUGUCGAGUGGCGGACGGGUGCGGAAUACAUCGGAAUCUACUUUUUCGUGGGGGCUAACGUAGGGAAACUUACGCUAAUACCGCACACGACCUACGGGUGAAAGCAGGGGAUCUUCGGACCUUGCGCGAUUGAAUGAGCCGAUGUCGGAUUAGCUAGUUGGCGGGGUAAAGGCCCACCAAGGCGACGAUCCGUAGCUGGUCUGAGGGGAUGAUCAGCCACACUGGAAGUGAGACACGGUACAGACUCCGACGGGGGGAAGCAGUGGGGAAUAUUAGGCGAGGGGGGCGAGGCGGAUCCAGGCAUACCGGGUGGGGGAAGAAGGCCUUCGGGCGGGUAAGUCAUUUUGUUGUGAAAGAAGAGCAGCAGGUUAACACCGCGCGAUUCUGACGGUACCGAAAGAAUAAGCACCGGCUAACUUCGUG